AUGGCGCCGCCAUGGGCACCAUGGACACCGUGGGCACUGCAUGGGGUGGGGGUACUGGGGCCGUACUGGGGGUCCUGGGGUCAUAGUGGGGGCACUGGGGUCAUACUGGGGGUCCUGGGGUCAUAUUGGGGGCACUGGGGUCAUACUGGGGACAAUAGGGUUGGACUGGGGACAAUGGGGUUGGACUGGGAGCAAUCCCACCAGUACGGGGACACCGCCAAGGGUACUGGGGGCACUGGGAGUAGUGUGGGCACUGCGUGGGGUGGGGGUACUGGGGUCAUACUGGAAGACCUUGGGUCAUACUGGGAGACCUUGGGUCAUACUGGGAGACCUGGGGUCAUACUGGGAGACCUGGGGUCAUAUUGGGGGUCCUGGGGUCAUACUGGGGGCACUGGGGUCAUACUGGGGACAAUGGGGUUGGACUGGGAGCAACCCUACCAGUAUGGUGCUGGUCCUGAGACCCAAAUGCCUUACUGGGACCUGAACACCCUACCAGGACUGGGCCCCCAGUGCCCUACUGGUAAUGGGACCCCAAUAUCCUACUGGGACUGGGCUCCCCAACACCCUACCAGUACUGGGCCCCAGUGCCCUACUGGUCCCGGGACCCAAAUGCCUUACUGGGACCCCAGUGCCCUACCAGUACUGGGCCCCAGUGCCCUACUGGUCCUGGGACCCAAAUGCCUUACUGGGACCCCAACACCUGGCCCCCAGUGCCUUACUGGUAAUGGGACCCCAACACCCUACUGGGACUGGGCCCCCAGUGCCCUACUGGUCCUGAGACCCAAAUGCCUUACUGAGACCCCAGUGCCCUACCAGUACUGGGCCCCAGUGCCCUACUGGUCCCGGGACCCAAAUGCCUUACUGGGACCCCAGUGCCCUACCAGUACUGGGCCCCAGUGCCCUACUGGUCCUGGGACCCAAGUGCCUUACUGGGACCCCAGUGCCCUACUGGACCCGGGACCCAAAUUCCUUACUGGGACCCCAGUGCCCUACCAAAAUUGGGCACCCCAGUGCCCUAACAGCACCAGUCCCCCCAGCACCUUACUGGUCCCAGUACCCCCACGUCACCGGUGCCAACCCCACCACCCCGCUCCUCUUUAG
rnacentral:lncRNA from 1 species